rnacentral:rRNA from 1 species
AUGGUUGAGCAUAUCCAAAACUAUGAUGUGCUGGAGAAGUGUACAAAAGAUAUACUCUCCAUAAUCAAGCCAACAGAGGACGAUCAGAACAAACGACUGAACGCAAUUCAGGAGAUUGUGGAUUCCAUCUAUUUAGUUGGUCGCUUGGGAGAUGCUGCUGUCAAACCUUUUGGAUCCUUUUUAUCAAAACUUUACGCAAAAUCAGGUGAUUUGGAUGUAUCAGUUGAGCUACCAAAUGUCUCAGGCUUCCCUACAAGCAAGGAAAAGAAGCAAAGUCUCUUGGGAGAACUACAUACGGAUGUAUAUAGACCUGUUUUAGAGUGUCAGUUUAUUUUGCUCCGUAUGUAUUCUAUAUUGGAAUCUCUAAAAGGAAUUAUAUUUAGGAACAGAGGGAGUACUAUGUAG